UGGGGAAUAUUGCACAAUGGGGGAAACCCUGAUGCAGCGACGCCGCGUGAACGAAGAAGGUAUUCGUAUCGUAAAGUUCUGUCCUAUGGGAAGAUAAUGACAGUACCAUAGAAGAAAGCUCCGGCUAAAUACGUGCCAGCAGCCGCGGUAAUACGUAUGGAGCGAGCGUUGUCCGGAAUUAUUGGGCGUAAAGGGUACGCAGGCGGUUUAAUAAGUCGAAUGUUAAAGAUCGGGGCUCAACCCCGUAAAGCAUUAGAAACUGAUAAACUUGAGUAGUGGAGAGGAAAGUGGAAUUCCUAGUGUAGUGGUGAAAUACGUAGAUAUUAGGAGGAAUACCAGUAGCGAAGGCGACUUUCUGGACACAAACUGACGCUGAGGUACGAAAGCGUGGGGAGCAAACAGG
rnacentral:rRNA from 1 species